rnacentral:rRNA from 1 species
GAUGAACGCUGGCGGCGUGCCUAAUACAUGCAAGUCGAGCGAACAGACGAGGAGCUUGCUCCUCUGAUGUUAGCGGCGGACGGGUGAGUAACACGUGGAUAACCUACCUAUAAGACUGGGAUAACUUCAGGAAACCGGAGCUAAUACCGGAUAACAUGUUGAACCGCAUGGUUCAACAGUGAAAGACGGUCUUGCUGUCACUUAUAGAUGGAUCCGCGCCGCAUUAGCUAGUUGGUAAGGUAACGGCUUACCAAGGCAACGAUGCGUAGCCGACCUGAGAGGGGGAUCGGCCACACUGGAACUGAGACACGGUCCAGACUACUACGGGAGGCAGCAGUAGGGAAUCUUCCGCAAUGGGCGAAAGCCUGACGGAGCAACGCCGCGUGAGUGAAGAAGGUCUUCGGAUCGUAAAACUCUGUUAUUAGGGAAGAACAAAUGUGUAAGUAACUAUGCACGUCUUGACGGUACCUAAUCAGAAAGCCACGGCUAACUACGCG